UUGUUUGCUUGUUCCGUAGGCACCGGCUUGUUAUCGAAACUCACUUCUGGCUUUACCCAACGAAACUGCUUGUUGAAACAGAACUGCUUACUGCUAUUACCCCACCUAGCGGCGAUAGGAUUGAGCUCUUGGUAUAUAUGCAUUUAAUAAAUAAAGAGUUUCAAGAUUGAUAUUCAUAAUAAGGAGUGAUAGGAUUGAGCUCUUGGUAUAUAUGCACUUCUAAAGAAUAAAGAGUGAUAGGGAUGCUAUAUCAAAGAGUAAUGAAUUUAGGGAUGCUAUAUCAAAGAGUAAUGAAUUCAAUAAGCCCGCGGUUUAGUAAUAAGCUAACGCACCCAAACAAAUAAGCUUGUAACGUCUUGCAUAACUCACUAACGCUUACUGCUCUUCGGGCUCUAAAUAGACUAUUUCCGUUUAGAUUUCUUAUGAUAUCCCUAGCAGCUUUGCUUCCUUGUUUAACAAAGGCUUGUUCCGGCCCGGCGAACUGAACUCGUUUGUUGAUUAUGAAUUGAGUGUACCUAGGAAAUACGCACAGUAACACACAUUCGAAACUCCUAAACGGAAUGAUUGCCCUAGUAUACCAUAGUACUUAUCUUAGCACCGUUGCUUGUUGAAUGGAGUGCACCUACUCAGAGGUCUAUGUUAUGUUCUAAUUUCGUUUUACCUAGGAAGAGGUCUAUGUUAUGUUAUGUUAUUAGGCUUCAAUGCUUGUGGGGUCCGGGUCAAAGUGGGUGUUUUUAUGGAAAGGUUUUUCACAGGCUAUAAACAACGCAAAAAGAGCUUAUUUAUACAGCCUUAACCAAUACCGAGUUUCUUGUUGAAGAUAGUGCACACAACUUAUGUAAGACAGCAACCUCACUGCUUACUCCUGGCGUUGUUACCUUACAUUAAUCAAAUCAUCGUUUACAGCCGAACCCUAUACUAAGCACUUGCAGGCCCUAUACACAGAAGCACCGUUACUCUACUUAACUACUAAACAAACAGGCUCUUAGCACCUUGCUUUCAAUCUACCUUCAAGCUUGUUCCCGCAGCUUACUCACUUGCUUGUGUAAUUUAUUAACAAAACAAAACACUGGCCAAGAAACUAGAUGAGAGAGAAUCCAUUCUUUUAGGAGAGUCUGGAGCGAGUGGUUCAAUUCCUUAUUCUUGUUCAAUGUCUUUACGAUGAGAUUCCAAAAUGUCUGUGUUUGUUGGCGGUGAAGAAAGUCUUUAUUGUGUUCAGGGACAGAAGAAAGUACUAGUGCGCGAGCUAUGUUAGGUGACUUUCCAACUUGAACAGAACUACUUGCGGAGGCAGACGUUGGGAUUGGCGCUAGGAAAAAGAAUGGAAAGGAUGCUUUCGUGCUAGAAGGAGAGGAUAGGAAAGGAAAGGAAGGGCGCUAAGAAAGUCAGUACUCUUGUAGAUGCCGAUCAAUCUUAUUAUGCCAUGCCGGAAAGAGAGAAAGAAGCUUUGGGUUGGGGCGCGCUGGGCAAGCAAUACCUUUCUAUGGGUUAGGUGCGCGAGCAGUGUUUUCUUUUUCUGACUUUCCUUCCACCCCCCACCAAAACGGAAGUCUACAGUCUCGUAUCUCGCUGUUCCCCUACUAUAGGGCUCGAAGUCAAGUUCAAGUCUUCGGGAACGAGUAAGAGUGGUUUAAGUUCCAGUCUUAUAGUUAACAGUAGUUGCUCGUCUUUUGGUCCUGUGUUCAGCUACCUAAUUUAUAAUCUAUCGCGGUCAACUCCGUAAGCAGUGAAGUCUUUUCAUUUACUUUAGCUUGUUAACUUGUUCUCGCCUUAGUUAGUCUUCAGACGCCUUGUAAACCAGUCAAAUCCUACAUGGAACUUCAAGCUCCCUAAUAAGCGCCUUGUAAACUAGGUGUAAUAAAUCAAUAAUGGAAUGUUUACACCAUAGAAUCUCUUUUCUCUACUGGCCACGUAGCAGUAAUCAGAAUCAAAGGCUCAAAAAGAUGCAGUAUCCAGAGAAUCCGCAGUGCAAUGAGAGUAGAGUGAGGAAGGUUAACAAACAAGCUUAUGCGCUAACAGGAAUGUCACGGGAGUUUCAAUUGUCAUCUUAUAUGCUUGACGGAACCAGCAUUUGUCCUGCCUGAAGUACAUACAAGUUCCGUUCGCCCAGUUCGUUCGACUCUCAGGUCUAUGUUUAGGGAGUUAGUACGUUGCUUUUUGAGUGUAGUUACUGAAUCUCAUUCUUAUUGAAUAACUCCAUUUGGAAAGAAGAUUAUGACAGUACUGUACACAUUAUGUAUCAAAGUAACAACACUCCGAAAUGAAAGAUUCCACACAAGGGAUUCAACAGCAACUGUUCCUGCUCCCACUCCAGAGAAAGCUUCCGCGCUAAGAUCUCCUGGUCGACUCGGUGCUAACAGAGUUUCUGCUUAGGGAGCUCAAUCCCCUUUUGUUGAAUUCAAUGAUGACUUUCGAGGUUAGGAGUAUAUAGAAGAAACAGUCUCUGGGGUGAGUCACAAAUCUCUUACUCAGUUUCCAGAUCAGAAUAAGGAUCAUCUGGGCAGCAAUCUUUUCUUCAAGUCUAGUUUGAGCAAAGGUCUGUGAUGGAGGUGAGAGUGCUUGUGUCUAAGGCGGUUCUUGACCUUGCUUGUAUAUGAGAAUGUCCCGUUCCAGUUUCAUCUAUAAGAGGAUUUCCUCUGUUCCGUUAGCGCAACAUUAUACCAUUAUACUACUAAGUAAGCUUGUUCGGUAAGAAAGCGUAGAGAGAAGCUCGUUGAGCGUAGAAAUCGGUAAUCAUAGAAAAGAGAGGUUAAGCUGUGAAAAAGUAAGCUUAUGAAUUGCUAGUUCCAGUUCUUGUUUCAGAAUCAGAAUAAGUUCGAUAAGAUGCUACAUCAGGGAGAGGGUUAAUAAUAAGUACUGGCGAGGAAGAAGUUGAAACAGAAUCCACAGUGCUAAAGUAGAGUGAAAGGUAAACAAGCUAUGUAUUUACAAACACGCUGAUCAUUGGCUUUUCAUCGUACGUAUUAAGAAGCUGAGCUGGUCAUUAUUGAAUCAGAGGCUUAGCUCCCGAUGAUGAAGAUAGGUAAUAGCAAAUAGAGACUUUUGUUCGGAUGGAAGGAGACUCGUAUCUACUCGGUGUAGUCAACUAAUUCCAUUAGAUUCUUCUGUCCAUCCUUUUGUAGGGGAAGAACCCUUUUCGCCUAGGGGACUCCUUUUUGGCCUAUGAUAAACCAUUUCAUCUUGUAUAACUAUUGAUAGCUUGUAUAACUGCAUGCGGAAGGUAAGGCUAAGCACGCAAAGCAAAGGGAAGGGAAAGCCUAGCCAACUGAAUCAUGCACCUACUUACACUUGAUGUUCAGCUGACCCCUUAACUUAACUGACGCGGAUACGAAAACAGUACUUAUUCUGUGUCCUUAGCUGGCGAAAUUAGCACUCCCUUAUGGGAUUACUUUACUACUUUACGAGCUUCUAUAUACCCUGUCCCCUUCUCUUUAGCACUUGUUCUUGUUGGGCCUUGUCAAACAAUCAUUUAUUACUGCAUGAAUAUAAGAGAGGCAUUGAAAAGACGACUCCCUUCCCGUGAGCUCACUGAUGCACCCUCUCCUUACGCACUUCGAGCAGUGAGAUGACUUUACUUCAGCAGUAUAGCAUUCAAUUCUUCUUCCAGUAUAGAGUCUGAAGCGUAAGCCGGAGAAGAAUCCUUUCUGGUUUCCUAUGUGUCAGCAGCAAUAGAUUCUCAAAGGAGAGUUCUUGUUUCACUGACUUAAUAUAGAAUAAGUGGGUAUCCAAAGGGAUAGAUAGCUUUAAGAUCCAGAAGUGGGUAUCAAAAGAGAUAGGUAGCUUUAAGAUCCAAGUCGUCAACAUCUUGUCCCGCCUUGUACUGAGUUAGAGUUCCUUUUCUUUACGCGUAAGCCAUUAGCAUAGUCACACCUCUGCUCAACUUAGAGAAAUCCCUUAUCUCUAACGCGUUACCAGACACAAGACAGGUCAUAACUACUUCUAAAGAAAAGACUGGUCAUAACUACUUCUAAAGAAAAUCAAUAUUACUCCCGUGACUCGUUGGGUUUAGAGCCUGAACCUGGAUUAUUGCCUUCUUCAGCGCACAGUAUCGGUAUCUCCUAGCUUUCUUUUGGAGAGUAUUGUUUGUCUCCUUGGGUGGGAGGUGAAGUAUCUAAUUACCUGGAACCGGAAGGUGAGGAGAAGAAGAUAGUACUGCUGGCAAGGAAUGGUUCCGAUGUAGCUCAGACAAAGUCAAAGUAGUAGAGUAGAGUUCUAUAAGAGAGGUCCACAAGAUCAUCUACAGGAUCAUCAAAGUCUCUCGGUGUUGUGGGGGAGUCUAGAACAACUUAUGAUAGUCAUAAUAUUCCUCAACAUCAGUCCAUACACCUUUCCUAACAAUAUUGCCCGGCGCGCAGGGGAACAAUAAAAUAAGUUGUUCUUUUCUUUGAAGCUGUAGUUUGUUGGGCCAGUGCUCUGUAAACUAUAAUAAUAAGCUAGUCAAAAACUCAUCAAUAUAAGUUAGUUAAUUAGGAACCGAACCUCACCGCGGACUUUUCGCUUUAAGAAAGCCCCACUUCGUGUUAGGAGUUCGCAGUUCCGUUGCUUAGUCUUUUGCCAAUACAAAAUGCAAUUGAUAAUCAUCUGCACCUCUAACUAAUAUAUUAUAGAAUGGAGUCAAAACACUCCUGUCCUUAAAGCUGACUCCCCCAAAGCUGACAUUAGCUGUUGCUUAGUCUUACUAGUUACUAGCUCUUGCUCUGUUGCUUGUUUCACCUUUUUUAGGGAAUACCAUAUAUACCCACCCGGUGGUAAAUAAUGGAUUGUGAAUGGCUCACGGUAAAUGCAUGAUUUUGAAAGGCGAAAAGAAGUAAGAAAUCCAGAAUAGGAGUAGAGACUAUCCUUUAUUACAUAAGGGGGGAGCUUCUCGACGGAAAAGGGCCAAAGCGAAUAGGAUUGAACCCCUAAGGAUAGAAAGUCAUAUCGGAAUGCUUAAAGCGAUAGAGUCGUGAACUGAGUUACUAGUGGGCUGGGCAAGAGAAGCAAUAUCGGAAUGCUUAAAGCGAUAGAGUCGUGAACUGAGUUACUAGUGGGCAAGAGGCUUGCUCAUUUCUCCUUUGUUUUGGGUUUGCCUAUCUAGCUUCUUGUCCUACGCACUAUGAUUUUCAAAAGAAGGGCUAAACGGGGCGGAGAGAGAAAGCCCUCAAAAACGAUCUUUCAUAUUCCCCCAGAGAUCCUAGUAGAAAUACAAUCCUAUAAAGAAGUGGGUUUGUUUCAGGCUUAGAAAGCGGAAGCCUAUUGUGGGGUCUAUGGCGGUCUACUACUUAGUCUAGUCUAAGUUUCCCAUUCUUUUCUAUUAAAUGACAUUCGAUAUUGCCCACGUGAAAGCUAGGAACUAGAACCACCUCCAACGUUAGUGUUCUACCAUACCGCAUAAAGGUGAACAAUUUGUCUAUCAAAAGAAAGUGACGAUUAUCUGCAUGUCUAAUGUAAUAAAGAGUGUUAUUGGUCAUUUUAUCCCAGUGUAAUAGAAUUCGAAAAAGGCAUUUAUUACUUGUGUUGAGUGAUAUGGUGACACUGUCCUCUCCUUGCGUGGAUUCCAUUCCUUGAGAUCUAAUCCAGCUAUUCGAUAUAAAAAUGGGAAUCUUCCUUUGGAUAUACAAAAGGGAAUCUUCUGAUAAGUGAGUAUAAGUGAUCGAGAAGCAUUGGUGAAAUGAAUCAAUCGACUCUCCCUACUUAGAUACAUGUAAGAUCGAAAGGGCAGCUCAUGAAUAGAAGGAAGAUCACAUAGAAUGCUAGUGUUGAGGAAGAGACGGAUGUUAGCUCUCCUGGUAUUACUUAACUAAAGCACUAACACCAAUAACAGAAGCACUAACAAAGGUAAAGUUCUCUUCUUUCUGGUGCUUUCUUAGACUCAAAACCAUCGACCCUAAAGUCUCGUUAUCGUUGUAAGUGAAGGGAGUUCUCUUAGCAAGCUAGUGAUUUUCCCCUUCCUUCGUUAGGGCUUACACUCUUCUCUUUUUCAGCUUACAACGAUUGGUUAAUUAGGAUAGGGGUGGAAAUCAUUGAAGUCGAGUCGAAUAGUAGGGCGCCAAGCAGACUAGUAGGCAAGUAGACAAGCAGACAAGACACUCAAAGACAACUUCCAAAAUCCACUCAAUAUAACGACCAAGCAUCCACUUAGAAUCUUUAUCCUAUAGAAAUAGAAGAUCAAGAAUGAGACAAGCAACGACAAGUACUGUGUUCGGGAGAAGAAUUCUGGUAUCAAAUGUAAGAGUCAGAAGAACACCGGAAGGUAUCAAACGUUUGAAUCACACCGGAAGGUAUCAAACUUAAGAGUCAGAAGAACACCUGAACUACUAUAUCUGCUGAGCAUCAAACCUUAACUACUAUCUCUCCAGAACAGGAGCAGGAGCAGUACUACCGGUAGCAAGAGGUGUUAUCGACCCCAACUAACUAUCCUUUUUGAACCCCUCGUUGCUUGGCCCGCACUCCCACAAUAACUCCACUCUUUGGAUCACAUAAAGGUUCAGGCUUCCAAAAAUCACCCUUAUUUCGAAUACUUAGCGGGCUGUAAACUAUUCUUUUUAGUCGUUGAGCUGAGGCUAAACCACGCUAAUGGCUAAUUCCCUCUCUUGUCCACCGAAAUGCUAAACUAAUGCCUUUGCUUGCUUAAUAAGACUUGCCUCUUGAAAACCCUCUAACGCUUACUUUCUUCCUCCCCAAACUAUACUUGAAGUUUGAUUAACCGACAACACUACUGUAAACCAGUCUUUUAAACGACUCCUGCCAGCGCCCAAAGAGUUUAGUAUGCACGACACUUCAAUUGACUACUUUGAUCUUUAAAGCCACCUAUCUCCUCCACUUGAAGCCAUUAGAAUGUUGCUUGAUGCAGCCUCACGCUAGACUCUACCUGUACUUUACAUAUUGUCCGGCGCGAGAGAGUAAGUUGUAGCACUUUGGCUUUGACGAACUCAACUCAACAAGCAAUAGAAUCAACUCACUAGUCAAAGGGGCUAGGGAACAAACAUACAAGCAAGAAACAAGCGCGCUAGCGAGUUCCAAGCGUUAGUCCGGCUCCGCUUUCACUCUCCCGCUCCUUACUCUUAGUCUUGAGUGCCCUCCCGCUUUUGAAACCUAUCUAUCUUUGCUUGCGUUCCGUAGCUCCUGAUCCAGAUUCUUUGCUAUCAACCUCAAACUCAUUACUGUUAUACCUUAACUAAUGCCUUAGAUCCUGUCCUUGCUGCCUACGAGCCUACCUCUAAACCAGUACCGCUGCUUUCAUUCUCUUACCAUUCUUUAGUUACUGACUUUUCUUCUGACUUGUUUGUUUGAGCCUGUCACUCUUAAACUACCAGCUCUGGGCCUGCCUCCCCCUUAUCUAAUUAUGGUUUUAGUCCAAACUAUACUUUAUGGAAUUCUGUAUUGAUAGCUUUAGUCUGCUACUCCUCUUUCUAUUAGUCUGCUUUUCCUUCUUUUUGGAUUCUGUAGUUACCGAUCUGCUUUGCUUCUUAGACUUAGGCGACCUCUGCCUUUCUUUGAUUCCAACUUUACUGGGUUCUUCAAUUGCCGAUUCUAUUUGCUUAUAUUCAUUAUGAAAUUGCUUAUUGCCUUUCGAACAUAGGAAUAAGAACAAGAAAUAGGGGUUAGGCUUAGGAUCUAGGCAAGGAUAGCUAGUAUUGGAUGAUAACUCCAUUACAGAACUACUAGCUUUGAUUAUUACUACAACGACUAUUAGGCUAAAGGCAUUAGUGCCGUAGUAAAAGCAAGACUCAAUGUAGGUAGCGGGAGACUCCACCUAUAAGUAAAAGAUCUAGAUCCGGGGGGAGUAGCUACAGACUCAAAAGCAGCAGUUGGGUUCUUUAGUUGACCUCGUCCGCAGGGGUUGGUUUAUUUAUAUCAGAAUAAAGUCUUAGAAGCACUAGUGGUAGUUUUCCUCGGAUAGGUAAUGCAAGUCAAGAGUAAAGCCCUAGAAGCUGUAGCGGGAUUCUUUAAUGAGUAAAUAAAGAGACUUUAUAAGCAUUUAUAGAAUUCAAGUAAACAGUACGUCCUCUAUUGCCAAUAAGAGGAAUGAAUGCUAAGGGAGGCUAUAAUACAUGAAAGUCAUACUUUUAGGCGGGAAAGGCAUACUCGAACAUUGGUAUUGAGACCGGGAUGGGAAUACUCAAACUCGGCAUUGAAGGUAAGGUAGGUAGGGCAGGCUUAGAAGCUGUAUCGGCAGCCCUAGUUGUACAAUCAAAGACAGGGGAUAGAAGCUCGUGGGCUGUAAUGCAAUCCUUUAUAUGGGGUUUUUCGUAUUGGAGGUAGUAGUUGCUGCCUUAUCCGUAGGAGUUCCAGCCUUGUAAGCCUCCGGGUCAGUGUAUUAUGCCCACAUUCCAAAUUCUGAGAGGCAGGGUUUAGCGGUGGUUUCGUUCUUGUACACUGGCGUUUGAUCCCAAUUAGGCCCUAUCUCAGUUAAGCUUGAGUACUUGUUUACUUGUCUCUCAUAUCCUAUAGCAACUUCUCUUUAUUCGAUUAAUAAACUAGAGACUUUCUAUUAAUAAACAAGAGACUUUAUCUUUAUUCUAUCAGUGGGUGCACUAGACCAUGCCAUACCUAUUACAUUGGCUCCAAACUGGAAUACCUAUUCUCAUUCUAUUGACUAGCGCUUUACAUACCUAGGCGAUUGACUCUAACUCUCAUUAUGAUUUGUCAUAUCAAACAUAUAUCUUUAAUUGCGACACUCAAACUAUUCCCUUACUGACCCAAGGAAUAUUCCCUAACUGUUGAUUCCAUUCUUGAACUUAUAGAUUGGAUUCCAUGUUUUUGUACUCAAUUCUUCUACUGUGGAGUUUGAUUCCACUGAUGACGUUUCGGUCCAGUAGGGUACCAAGUCAAUCUUACUUAAUGGAUAGGAUUCGCCUACUAGGGACAAAAGCCUUAAUAACAGCGGUUCCAUUCUUUUACGCCCGGGUUCGAUCCCCAGUUUUGAGUGUGAGUUUGGUUCAGUGUCUCAAUUCUGUAGUUUGUGUGAAGAGGUGAAGCCAGUAGCUGAUGAGUUCAAUCCUGUUGUUUCGGCUUUGGCUCUUGCUUUCCUAUUUCAUCCAAUAGAUCAUGUCAUAGACCUACUCGAGCUUCUAAUGCAUUUUCUGCCUAUCCAAUAGUUAUGCCAAUAGGCAGUUAGAGACAAGUCCAAAUACAAGGUUUCAAGCAAGGGAGGUUAUCCUUAAAAGAAAAGAAGUGGAGCAAGCCUUGAGCUGUAGGUAAGGUUCUAGUUCAGUAGGGGAAGUUCUCAGGUAAGUAGCGGAGUCCUAAAAGUAAGGAUAUAAUACCAACCUCAAGAAUGGAAGGCAGGAUCGAUUAUUGUUAUCCGCAGUUAGAGUUUCCGUUUUUACUAUAGUCGUCCAACCUAUUAGCAUAGUAUAUAAGCUUGAAACCAAUAGGCAAGGCUUAGAGACAGGAAGAGCGGACUCGGAGAAUAGAUAGUAAGGCUUAGCUAACGGAGAGGCGAGCUAACAAACAAGACUCUAGGGGGUAAGUCAAAGAAUGAAAAACUCACAAGCAAUACUUUAAGGCAGGAAAGGCAUACUACCAAAAAUCCAAUAAAGAGGUCAAGUCAAGGGGGACAGCCUUGGGAGCGCUCGUUCCAUUCUAUUUAGUCUAAGGGAUCGGACUUUUCUGAAAGAGAGGUAGCCUUAGAGACGGGGAAGGCAUAGCGCAAGGUAUGAGUUACAGACCAAUAGAAGGUAAAGACAGACUCGUAGACAAGAAGGUCGGGCUUUGACUUGAAAGUUCAUUCCGUACAUCCUGUUUUUGUCUUUGACUCCUUAUUCCUAGGUGUGAGUUAAGGUCCUGUUCCAUCAUAUAUAGUAGUCAAUCCUAUAUUAUAAGAUAUAGUAUUGGAACCACUAGCUUAAGCCUGAUGGUAACAGUAGUCGGAAGCUAGCAAGCAAGGAUACAAAUAAGCAGUUCAGAGUGAAAACAAGUCAAGUCAGACUUCUAAUAAGGAAAGGUAGCUUUGAAGUAAGUAGCAGCAGCCUCAUCAGUAGUACGAAGGAUGAAAAGCACGAGUUAUAGUUUGAACCUUGUAGUGGAACUAAUUAACAUACUCCUGUUGGUAACUACACUCAUUGUCCAACAAGCUACCCCCUUAGAGUCAAGGGGGGCAGGCUACGAAGUUCAAUACAGAUUGGAGAUCGGGAGCUACAGGCCAAUAGGGAAACAAGGGUUUUAAGUCAGUAAGGACAGGCUCGGGUUAGAGCAUAAGUCUUUGUGAUAUAAGUCUUUGUCGUGUAUUGGGUUCAUUCCCUCCAUAGCGUCGAUUUGAUUCUACUAGUUGGUAUUUGGAGUCUGCUUGUCUGUAGCCCUAUAUUGUAGGUUCGAGCCGUUAGUCAGUGGGUUUAUUCUAUACUAUAAGUAAAAGGAGUGAAAGGCAUGGGUGAAAGAAUGAGAAACUCUAUUUGAAGAGCGAAAGCCAAAAAGUAGAGGUUUUCGUUUAGGGUGAGAGUAUUGUUUUCACUUGUUCUAUAUGUUAGGGUGCCUCUUCUCUUCCUUUUUUUGAUAGUAUAGGGUUAGGUUCCAUAAUGCUAUUUGAUAUUUAAGGUGCCUAUGGCUAUAGGUCAAUCGAGUAAACAAGAAGGUUGAGACCUGUUUCUCUAUUAGAUAUAUAGGUAGGUAGUAGAUAUAAGUACUAAUGUGUUGGGGACGAUUGCAAAGUCAAUAAGAUGGUUUCUUGAGAGUAGGUGUGCAGGGAUCGAAUAUAGUGGAUGUUGGGUCCGAUUGGUAUAGUUUAGGGUUUAGGCGCCGAUAUGCUCUUAUGUGGAUGAGUCAAGUCCGGUACAGGAUGCCGGUCAAUAAUACUGCUGAUAUAUGGGGUGCCUCAACAAUUCUUCUAAAGAGUCGUUUUCGUUUCUAAAGAGUAGUGGUUGUUUUGUUCGGUGUUUGCAUUAAACAGCUAUUGACUCUUCACUUCAAGUUGGAUUGAUUUCAGAAUGGAGUAGAUAUCCCCAUCCUCCUAAUCAAUUAAUAUACUCAUAGGCUCUCUACGUUUGUCUUUCCUACGAGUAGCUCCGUUCCGUUUCUUUCAUAGAAUAGACAUAACGACCUAGGGGCAGUAAAGCAAGCCUUCUUUGUUCGUGCUAGGCUCGCACUACUGGGAACCUAUUAAGAAUUCAUAAAGAAGCGCAAAACCUCUAUCCUCGUCAGGGCAUGCAUUGAGUAUUAACAGGGCGAAGGGAUAUUGACGGGACUUACCUUUCAAACAGGCAUAUCUAAACUGACCUUUCAAACAAGGCGUAUCUAAUCAGUAUAGUAUCAUGGGAGAGUAGAGUGGUAGGGUCGGAACUGAGAGAAAGCUAUAUUUUGCAAUUGAUCGUUACCAAUAGCAACUUGAACUAAGUCCUCUGGUGAAUGAUCGAUGUGUGCCAGAUUGAAACCACCUUCUUUAUCAUUGGAAGAAGACCGCUUCGUAAAGCUAGGGCUGGAUACCUGAAUUGGAUCUUGAAUGCCCCGGUUAGGGCGCCUUGUGCGUGUGCUCUUAAUCGUUGGGCCUAGCUUAGCUCCAUUACUCAUUCUAGCUCUAGCCUCAUUGGGGAACAGGUCUGGCAAAAGGAGAAAGAACUAAGGCACACCCCAAACCGAAAUGCUCCUUACUUAUCUUAUAUUAUAGUUAUAGUAUGAUGUACGAUCAUAAGUUCCCAGAUUUCUCAUAAUAGGAAAGGAAGGGCUUUGGACUAUUAUGGUUUGAGAUUGAACUUCUCAUUCAAUGGGGAUCCAACUAAACCCCCAGGAAGGGAAGUGCCAAAGAAGAGGACUUCACCUAUCCUCCACCAAAGGCUAUAGGAGAAGGUACCUACCUUUUACUGAGGAUCCAAUUUCUUCUCGCUAACGCCCUUGUUGCCAUGCCCUCUAUCUCUCUCUUUGCUUUGGAUCGAGAAGGGUUGGCUCUGCCUCAGAUCUAUUCAGCUUCGACCAGACGACUACCGCUAAGUGAUGAAGUUUGUUUAGUGCGGAAUCUGGCAUACAGUUACCAAUCAAGUAGAAGUCAAUAGGCUCACUCAUAAAGCCCCCCGCUAGUAAGACAAGAAAACGCUUCGCUUGGUUGUCAUGUCAGGGCACUCUGGUAGGACGUGGCGUGGAGAAUUACCUGCAUUACGAGAAUGGGCUUCUCUUUUAAUGUAAUAGAAGAGUCACGGUCAAGUGAGCCCGGCUUUCUCCCUAAUCGACCUUACUCAGGGGAGUUGCAUUCAGUUAGGUAUAGGCUUUUUGACCUUGUGUUCUAUACUGGUAAGAGGCUAAUACUGGCAAAGAGUUAAGCAUUAACGUGUUUUGGGGUAUUAAUAGAAAAGAAGGCGCCCAACAAGGAGUAUGGACUUGGAUGCUUGCUGGGGAGAUCUAGAGAGAGUUCUAUAUCAACAUAGAAAUCCAAAGUAGUUCUCAGUUCUAUAUCAAAUAGAAGUUAUAAGUUCAAUAUCCAAUUAUUAUAAGUGUAAAUAUCAAAUUAAGGAAGAGUACGCACGGCUGACGCUGUUAGUUGAUCGAAUCAGAUACAGAUAGCUCUGGCUACCCCAAUUCUGAUCCACAUGAGGUAUGGCUCUGAGCGGAGUGGCUGAAGGCAUAGGUUUGCGAAAUCGACAUCAAAUAAGAUUGUAUAAUGGAUCCCUACGGAGGCGGGCGAAAUAACAUGAAAGAACAAACCUAUUCUUGGUAGAGUUCCCUGAGGACGUACAUAAGAGCACUAACCACUUUUGAGUGAAACUAGAAGCUUGUGCGCUUUAUUUGAUUGACCGGCCUGCCCAUCUUAUUUAUAGUAGCAUACCCCUAAGUAUCAUUUGUAUAGGAACGAAAGCAACACUUUGACUUUUGAAAGUAAUGGGCUACGCUUAUCCCUGACUAGUCAAGUAGUGGUAAGGUAGGUGCUGGUGCUGUGCUCUUCGAUGAAGAAAAUCUACAAUAUAUUAUAUACAAAUACAAAUAUACAAAUACUACAGAAAAUAUACAUACAUAUUAAUAGGUGAUUCAAUAGGUGAUUAAGGUAUCUAAACCAGAGCAGAGCAAAGUAUUCUCCGUUUUCUUGUGUCAGUGGUUAGAAAUCGAAAUUAGUGAACACGUCGCCUACUUUCUUUAAAAGGAAGCAAUUCUUCUUACCUAUAACCAAUAAGCCUUAUUACCUCUGUUUGUAAAAAUGGGGUUAUGGUUAUAGAAACCAUAGACUUAUCCAUUUGUAGAUGAACCUCCUUGUCGUAUUUAUUACCUCCUUGUCGUAUUUAUUACCUCGCCCGAAAAUCAUUGAAAAAUAUAGGCAUCCGGAAUACCGCUUAUCGACUGAAUCGCAUAUGGGCAAAUCGACGAGGAAUCACAGUAAAGCGCCCUAGUACCAUCACUCCCUUGCCGGAACAUUAGAAGACCAGUAAGACGUGGGUCCGCUCCUAAUCUUGAAUGGCCUCAUCAAUGACUGAAACACAGUAAUGAGUCACCUACUCUUUAUUUAGACAAGAAAGACGGCGGACAUUGAUGGCUCUAAGUCGGAUGGCCCCACUGGAGAGUGAGCGAAACGAAAAAGCAGUGCACACGCAAAAAACAUCAUUAUGGGCUUGCUUUACCUACCCUUUACUCAUCAUUCCGUUUUGGAAUCUACAAAGAUGAUGAAAUGAUUGGAUUAUUUCCGUCUUCUUGCUUGCUCUGUCUGAUACUAUGUAUGUGAAACCAGAAGAUAGUAGUUCCCCUGCGACGACAGGAAUCUCGUCCCUUCUACUCUUUGUUUAUGGUCCCCCAAAAGCAAAAGGAAAGAUUCUUCAUGAAAAUAGAAACCACCUAUGAGACGAUCCCUAGUCUAUUUCAUACAUUAUGCCUAGGUCAAAGGUAUGCCUGCUUUCUUUCUACCUAUGGGUCAAAGGUAUGCCUGCUUUCUACUUUCCACCUAGUUAAAUUCGAAGAGAGUCUAUCCACCCUAAGAUCAGAAAAGAGCCUAUUUCUCUUUUGUUUGAUUUAUGAGAAUCAGAGACAGGGUUCGAAUUCCUGUUGAGAAUGAAAUCAUGAAACUAAAUGAGAAACCUCUGAAAAAGACUUGUUUGUAUGGAGCUUGCAUACUCCCUGCGCGCGAUCGUAUACUUGAACCCUCGCUUUUGUUGGUGGUUCAGCGAUAGAUGGUAGUUUGCCUUAAUGAUGGAUAGCCUUGCCAAGGAUUCGAUUUCUUUAUCUUUUCAAAUAGAGAAGAGAUCGCAUUACGAUAGGACUGACUGCUGGCUUAGUAGUUCUUUCCCCGGGUACCAUGACAGUGCGAGCACCUUUUCCGAAAACCCAUUUAAGGAAGGGCAGGAUAGAGCAGUUUUCGGACUCAAAGUGUAUAUGGAUAGAACCUUGUCCAGAUUUCCUACUUUACAUCUCUGCAAAGAGAAAUCAAUUCAAUAAAAACAUGACCCAUAGCUACGAAAUGAAUCCAAUUAGGUCCCUUAAGAGAGAACUCAAUCUCAUGCAUCGAUGUAUUCCUUCUAGAACUAUAGUCGCCUGUCUUUUGAGUUCAGGGAGAUGGGCAUGUCUUCUUCGAAAAGGAGGUCGUGGUCAACGAUCAAAAGUGGCUUUGACUACACGAAUGGGAUAAGCAAGAAGAAUGGAAUGCUGUAAUACUGUCUUCUUUGGUUCUAAGAAAGAUAUUCAAAGACUCUCUACCCUACCGCCUGCCGACGAUGGACCUCAAUCACCAUCAUAGUAGGGCAAAGCUUGUAAACAAACACAGAUUUAGACCUUUCCUUUAGUGGAGAACCUAUUGAUGGAGACAUCGCAACAAUCAUCUUACAUUCAAUCUCAGAGAUGAUAGUGCGGACUUAUGAUGGGCAAAAGACUAAGAUCUAGAAAUAAUGAUAGGGCCGGGCCGCACCCUCUCGCCUUUUAGUUACUUUUACCGAAAUACGAGACUGACUCCUAAAUUCAGUCGUUCCUCACUAAAUAUAAGAUUUUGGAAAGAGUCAAACAGUCCCGUCCCUUUGGACUCGAAUUAGUUGUAUAUCAAAUGAGAUUGUAUAGACCCGCCAGCAAUCCAAAUUCUAUCUCAAUAUUAGCGCAAUGGUUCUUAUCCAUGGUUUGGCCAGAGCCCCACCUUUGUCUUUCUUGUUUGGGUGAGGAAAAAGCGGAUACAUAAGCAUCAGGCGAUAGUCAAAAGAGAAGGUUGUCUUUCACAGGACAUUCCAUUCAGUUAUCUAUAGCGGUGCCUAGCUUAUUUGUUGGAUAAUGCUUCUUCCUGCUUGAAAGCCCUUCAUGACUAGGUAGAGGGGAUUAAUCUAAAUAGAAACAAAUAUCAAUCUGGGAACGAUAGGAUCAAUCAAUGCAAUUGAAUUGAGGCGAGUGAAGCUAUAGGAAGGCAGUAGCAGACCAGACCCGAUUGGGAGGGAGUCUUUGCGUACGAUAGGUGGUAUAGGGUUUUUGGAAUGGAGUUCAAACGGAAAUGGCUCGAUUGAUUUGCUUACAGGAAAAAGACUAGUUUCAGAAAUCCAAUAAUUGGAACAAAUUGAGUGACAACGCAACGGACACCUUUCUUUCUCACUCAAAAGCUCAUCGUUUACCAACGAGUAUUGAGAGUAUAUACUCUUACAAAGACAGACCUGUGAUCCACUUUCGAUCUAAAGCACCCGAAUUCUACUCGCUUAUUUUAUUACUUUGAUAUGCGUUCAAUAUUCGAUUUUAUGGAAUGGAAUUAAGCUUCACUGCUCCUAUCCAUGCUUUCGAAUUCCUUUAUUACCGACCCAUCCUGGCUAUUUCUCCUAUUUGAGAUAUAACCCAUCCUGGCUAUUUCUCCUAUUUUAGAUAUAAUUAGAAUAAUGUCUUUGUUAACUUAUUAGUAUAGUCCACUCUUACCUUAGAUCAAAGAAAGUCAGACUGAGUAUUUUUCUAUACGAGACGUCGAUAAAUCCUUUGUAUAUGAAAUUAUUGUGAAUGGAAAGCGCAUACAUCGAGUAAAGAAAGACGGAAGAAUGGGGGAAAAUAGAGUACCACUACUGACUAAAGGAUUAUGAAACUCAAGAAAAAGAACCCUAAAAACAAGGGGGAACUGUCAUAAUUCAUACAAGUAACUAGCUAACGCCUGAGAUAGAGACCCCGUCUGUGACUCGUGAGAUAGACCACCCCGUCUGUGACUCGACUUCUUUUAGUAGUGUGCUCCAACUUACCCUUAUACUUCGCUCGGUUCGGUGCUUAGAAAACUCCAAUAACAUACCAAUAACAUCAAGGGUAAGCGUUAGCUUACCUUUUCUCUUCUCUUAGGGAGCGCUAGGGCAAUAAGCUAUGUUGUUUAGGUCACUUUCAUAUAUUAAUAAUGAGUGAAGUUAGUAAUUGUCGUUAAGAUUCAUUUCUUUCAAGUUGAGUGCACCUUUUGCCUAUAUGAGUGAUUAAAGGAAAAAUACAGGAGUUAUGAAAAUCAAGAGAAGAGUAUAGUAUGCUCCGCUCCGUUUUAGAAGCAGAAUAAGCGUGAUCGCGGACAGGAGAAGGGGUUAACUGACUCUGUGACUAUAACCUUAUUGAAUGGAAUCGAAACUUGUCGAGCUUCACUUGCUACCGAGAUACCAGCUAUAUACUUGCUACCGAGAUACCAGCUAUAGCUAUAUAGUCGUGGAAUUCAGAAGUUUGGAGGACGAGUAGGGUCGGUCAAAUAGGAAUUCAAUAUCAAUCAGUCAACCUGCAAUUAAGGGCAUAUCAUGAAUUCCAGAAUAUAUAUGGCAUAUCAUGGAAUAUAGUAACAAAACACUAUAAACUCACUUACUCUGUAGUUUCCAAUCCUUUUUUUCCCUGACAUAACACAUAUGUUCUAAUUGCAUAACUGGACUGUUUACUCCAACCAAUAAGCGUUAGAGCACCCCAAGAUAGAGAAUGAUAGAUUAGUUAGCGAGCGGCGAACUCACAUUGCGCUUACGGAGCACUUGUUCAUUCUAUUGUUUGUUCUUUUCUUCUGAGACUUAUGUCAGUUAUUAGAGUUUGGGCCAGUAUGUAAAGUUCACCUUUCAUUUCAUCUAUCUAGCCAUAUGAUCUUGAAUAGCUAAUCCAUCUUGUGCAUCAUCUCUAGCCUAUAAGGGAGUAAGAUGACCUCUUUAUAUACUCAAUGAGAAGCAUUCGCCAACCACUAAUUAGCUCCUAGCGCACACAACAAAAAGAAUGAACUAACGACCACAUGAUACGAAAACGUCACUCAUGUUUGUAACUAAUGCAGAUUCUAUCGUCGCAAAGACAGAUCAGAUGAAACUCCACCUUUCCCGCUUGCUGCUUCUGAUCUUGAUUCUGAUCCUGUAGUAGUUAAGGAUACGGCUGCCAAUAACAUAUUAUUCCCUUAAUAAAGCAGCAGGGGGCAGAAGCUUCUUUUUCUUCGUAGGGGUUUACAGACACAGCCGAUUCCCUAAUUGCCCCAUGCUAUACUCAAUGAGACUCUAUUCUUUCUACUGUUCCUUUUCCUUUAUACCUAACAGCCAGCUUAUUAGAUACAGACAGCACUGCCAGCUUAUUAUCGGCUUCAACUGAAAGUCAUUAUUAAGCUUCUUCCCAUUUCUGUAGGAUCAAAGUCGACAACACAAGAUUCAAGUCGCUAACUCUUUUCGGCAGUUUAGAAUUCCAUGAAACAAUUCCAUUCUUUAUCGGGGAAAUAACCAACAAUGAAAUUAUGUAUUUGGAGGCACCGGAUAUAGGCAUGAGUAAAGACACUGAACGCACAGGGACAAGCACUUCUGGACCAAUACUGGAAUCUGGAACUACACUUUCCACUGCUUCUUCAAAUGGUGUUGGAGUGGAGUAUAUCAAUUAGUAAUAUGAAAAGGAUCUAUACCCAGGCUCGCUAACAGAGCUGUUUCUUCUCAAGUCGACAACACUAAUUGACUUUGCGCUUACAGCUUCCUUUAGUACUGCUUAUUCUCCCCCACUCUUGCUUCUGCCUUUGUCCUAACCCUAUUUGGAUAGUGAAAUAAGGGUUCUUUGAUAGUGAAAGUAAGCGUUCAGCUGCCUCUGCUCUAUAUGAGUAGGUGUGUGACCUCUGUUCUAUAUGAGUAUAGUGUAUCAAACUCGUCAACUUCAUAGCUUACACUGCUUAAAGAAAUGAAUCUGUAACUUAGAAGGGGAACUCACACAUCAAUCUCUGACUCUCGGAUCCAGCUGGGUUAGUCCGAUAAUUUGUGUCGAACCUUGCUUGGGCUGGCUUGGCUCUAAGAAGAAGAUAUAGUAGAUGAAAGAGGCUCCACGCUAUAACAGUGAAAAGAUUUAGCAGGUUAAGAACUUCAAGUUUAGAAUAGGUCGGCUCAAAGGCAAGUAAGGGAUCCACCAACCAAGGUAAGAAGCAUAAGCUAGAUAAGAUUAUGUAUAAAGUGGAGUUUACUUUAGAUAAUGUCAGAAUUUCCGUUUAUAGCUUAGUCUAUAAUUCAGUGACAGGGAGUACAUUCCUUCCCUACCCGGAGACAUAGUCCGCAAGUGGUUUAAGUGCUUGUGUCUAAGGCUUCUUUAAGUAGAGUUCUAGACUAAAGUAGAGUAGAGUUCCAGUUCUCAAGUAGUCUACGAGAGAAUCAGCAAUUACUGGCUUUGAAGAAGAAGCUUUAUCAAAAUCAGAAGCAGUUUCAAGAGAAGUAGCAGAAUAUCUUACUGGCUACGCAGGGUGUUGGGCAUCAUAUCUUACUGACUUUUCAAGUUGAAGCUAGGUGUGGUCCACGUCGUCGAUUGAAGCACGGUGACACUGAAUACGAGUUAUUAAGUUCCAGAAGAGAGAGACGCCGCUCCACUCUUUUUGGUAGUGUUCCAUCCUUGUUAGCAGUGGUUUCCUUCUUUGUUUGACCUUAGACUCCUUUCUUCGAUUCUGACUUUGGAGCUUACGGACUGACGCUACACUCUUUUGGUUUGAUUCUUUGUUUCUACCUUGAUUCUUAUACCUAUGAGCUCGAUUCUACGCCUAUGGGAAAAGAAAGGCUAUCCGCCAGCACUCGCCCAUUAUGGGACUGUUGAGUUGGACUCCCUAUGGUUGGACUACCCUUUUGUAUUCCUAUUAGUCUCAUGCGCUAGUAGCUCGGACCCGACCCUUAUUCUUAUCCCCAUGGUCGAAAGACGGCAAUUGAAUAAGUAGAGGCGAGAAGUCAGCCUAAAAGCGAGGGCUGCUUUAGAUGCCUGAGAUUCCAUAAUAUAAGUUGGAAGGGAAAGUCAGUAAGUUACAGUUCCAAAGUUCUCCUGUUCCUGUUCGAGUUAUAGUGUUUUCUUAUAAGGAAUACAGUAACCAAGGAGAUAUAAAGGAAGUAGGUAACACCAAAGUGAGUUGAACCAAUUCCAAAUUCUAAAGAGAAUCACCAAAACUCGAGAAACCGAAUUCAUGCCUUGUUUUUUGUUUGUUGCUAUACACUUAACACUAAGCAACUCCACGCCAAAAAGGUCUCGAUCAAGGGCCUUCCGCCUUCUCGUGCCACAGCUCUAAUCCGAAUGGCUUCAACUAUGAACGCAAUUUCCAGUUCGAGCAAGAGCCGUUUGUUUUUCGAGAAAAUCCAGAAACUAGAAAACGGAUCGUCGUUAAGUCCGGCUUGCAGAACCGUCUUUCGGAUAACUAUAAGUGUGAGUCGGUUAGCUCCUUUUUCUGUUGCUGUAGUUGGUCGAUAAACACUCCUAUAUUUCGUAAUGAAAGACUUAAUUCAGUGAGCUUGGUACCGCCUGUUCAAGGGGUUGGAGGAGAUCAAACCCAAGAGAGGCCCGAGCACAACGUCUUCAUGAGUUAAGUGUUCCCACCUUGGGAGCUGAGAGUCAGGCCUGCAUUAGUGGAAUAUCCUUUACAGCCUUCCUUUAUCCGACCAGACAACUAUUCUAGUUCCACUUUUGAUACCGGGCAGAGCAGCUAAAGUGGCUUCAGCCUCUUUCUUUUGGCAGUUGCUUGCGAAGAAUUUGGGUAUUACUUAUCCUAGCUCAGAUAGAGCACUUGAGAGAGAAUUCGAAUAGUAGGGUUUGGAUCGUAAGCACAAUGGACUCGCUGCCUUAUCUGUCAUAUAGGAAUAUCGAUAGCGAGCAGUACCCAUCGGUUGCAGCUAUAAUCGUUUGCAGCUAGUACCCAUCGUUUGCAGCUAUAAGUAUAGAGCUCGUUCUUUUCUUACUUACCCGACGGUCGGAACUUUCAAAGGAUUCUCCCCAUCUAAAGAGCACUUCGUUCCUAAUAAAUGCAGACGGAAAGGUAGGACGGACCAGUGGAAGACUUAUGUCGAGAAGAACGUAGUGGCUUGUUGGCACAGAUGCCUUAAUUGAUCUUGUUGGCACAGAUGCCUUAAUGGAGAAUUGCAUCCAUCCAAUUAUGCACUUAAGAGAUUGACAGUCCUCCGCUCAGGCAAAGAAAAAACCGAAUCUUAUUAUACUUAUAUUGGAUCCAAAUUGAGAAUAGAACCUAAAGGUUGGUGGAUCAUGGUUCUACUAAGCGCCCUUCACCCCUGGUCCUUCUCAUAUGUCUUAUACUGGAAUGGCAUUUUUCUUAGGGUAAGUUCUUUGUCAAUAAAUUGGAUGCCCUAAGACGUAAUCAAGCCUUGCCUUUUCUUUUUGUUCUCGAUCUCUUCUCUUUAGAACUUAUAAAUAGCACGUAAGCAUGACAAAGGAUGGGAGCGGUGAUUGACCAGAAACAUUCUGUAAAAACAGAAAAGAGUAUCUUGCUGGAAUGGAUUUCAAAGAGCAAUCGUAAGGCCCACCAAUCUAACGCCGACAAGUGGUAAGACUAUCCCUCGUAAGACCGACAUUCCUCAUUCACUUCGAGGUGUGGCGCUAACUAGGCAUUCAACGAAAACGGAAUUAGUGCUUAACUGAAACUCCCCGAGGAAUCAAAACCUUUAGUAAUAUCUUAUUAGUCAGAAAAUAGUAUACUUUUGGCGAAGCUAGCCUCUAGUUCUAGUUAAAGUAGUCGAUUGCCGGGCUAUCCAUAGGGAAAAGUCCUCGCCGGCGGGAAAGGAAAAAGAAGGAAUUCCCGAUCCGAGCUACUAUUGGUGAAGCAUAGUUCGUCCUUGCGCAAAUAUCAAUAAGGAAAGAAGCUUUCAUUUCAGGGACCUAGAAUAGAUUCAUAUAGAGAUCGUGAAGAUAGCACAUUAGCCUAACUAUUCGAAAUGACGUUCAAUCAAUCCAAAUCCAAAGAAUAAUAGAGGAAGGAGCGAUAAACAGAUAAGUUUAGAGAGGAAGGAGCGAUAAAUAGAUAAGUUGAGAAUGCUCUUGUUUCAUUUCAGAAUCCAACACUUGUUAACUCCUAUCUCCAGGGGCAGAGGUACCUUAGAUUAUAUGCCCCUACAUAAGGACAGGGACUUUGCUUAGGACUGCAGGAAAUAGGAUAGCUACUAGGCCAGAUACUAGAUACACACGCACUAAACAAUAUAUGGGAAAGCCUCUUAGAUAGUAUAAAGAAGGACAUCUGGCUUACAGGGCUUACCUUUUGACUUCUUCGCCGACAUAAUGUUUCGUAAAAGAGGUAGUUCAGAUCUUUUAGAUAGAGUUAGUAUCUCGGUAUGACAGAAAGAUAAGAUGGCAGAGAAUCCGAUGUGAACAAAGGGAAUGAGCUAAAAGCAGCUUUCCUUUCCCAACUCAAAAAAGAUGGUAAGAAGAGGAACGGAAAAGGGAUAUCGCAAAGGAACAGGCCAGACAUUUGCUGGGAAGGAUAUCCUUCCAAGAUAUUCCACCUAGAAAGAAAGUUCUAUAUAUAUAUAAUGCCUUACUUGAUUGGUGAGACAAGAGAGAAAGCUUACAAUACUGGAUUUGCGAGACAAGAGAAUCGGCUGGAUAAUAAUAAGUUAGAGAAGCUAGAGCAGAUGAACCAUUAAUUAGUUCAGAAAGUAGAGUGGAGUUACUAUCUUCUAAGUAUUCUAAGUUAGUUAGGGAGUCUUGAGUGGAGUCGACGAAAGAAUCAUCAUCAUAAGUUCAAAAGCAUAAGCUGGAUAAGAAGCUUUAGAAGGAGCAACUGAAUCAACAGUGCCAAAGGAAGCUGCAAGUGGUUGAGAACAAGCAACUCCCACUCGGGGUGCCGAUAUUCUAGAUUCCAGUUUCGAGUCAGCGGUUCAAUAACAUGAUGCACUUCAAGUGGUGCCCUUAAUUACUGGCGUCAGUGAGUUUGUUUUUCCUACUAUCCUGGGUGUUACCUACUUCGACCUGCCCCUAAGAAAACUAUCUAAUUAAUCUUAUGUUGCAAUAAAUAAGUGAAUCGGUGUUGCAGUAACUGAAUUAGCAGUAGAGAGUUAGUCAGUAAGAGAAGGUCAACCAUUGAAACUCUGGAUUCCAAUAGAACAAGUCUAUACCUCUGGGCUCUUUCAACAGCAUCUGAUCUUUCUUGAAGUUAUUCAUUUCAUUAGUUGACCAGAGACGAGAAAUAGGGGUUCUUCAUCCUCUAUGGUGCUAGGCUAGACUUAUGGACUUGGUUUGACUUCUUCCUUUCUUUGUUUUGCAUGCGGCGUACUUAAGGGUAGUGGUCGACCAGAUAGAGAGCUGGUUUAGGUUUACAGUUUACAGUAGCUUGUUUUAGUAACUCCGUAAGCGCAUAAUUGAUAGAUGUUGCUUCUUUGUUUCGAGGUGUGCUAGUUAGUUUAGUGAGUUUGUUUACCAAUUUCUAUAAGAGAUGGAAGAUAUAUGAAUUGAAGAUCCCUCUUGAGAUACUAAUCAAGCUUAUUAGUCGCCCCCAACACCUAGACUUUGCACUUGACCUAGAAUUGAAGGAGGAUUAACUCAAGGCAUCGCAGCUGACGCUGCCCUCGCAUCAAAACUAGUACCAGAUUCAGAACUGGCUUCGGCAUAUGAUCGAGUAUGCUUUCUUCACACUUCAUUCAAAAACUCAUUUGUUAUGUAUUUGAGCACCAGACAUAGAAGAAAAAGGAAAUCCGUUGUUUAUUGAGCACACACAUGUUAUAGAAUAUUGGGAAUAUUACCCACCUGUAUAUAUGCUCAACGAUACUAUCUUCCUUCUUUACCAGAACUAGACUUUCUGAUUGCCCCAACUCGUAUACUCAGUUAAGCGCUAACAGAGCUAAAUCCUCUUAUUAUGAUUAUUAUUACCGGGGGGAUCUAUACUAGACCUAAGACCCUUUGCUUGUUCUCUUGCAUACCUCAGACCCUUUGCUUGUUCUCUUGCAUUGCAUAUACAAUUGGACUCUCCAUCUCGCAUUAACCUAGCUGUCAAGAAAGCAGGGACUGGCAAUACUAAACAAAGUAUUCAGUCAACUACAAAUCAUCCACAGAUUAUAGUGCUAAGAGUAAACUAAUACUUGAUUUUAUCUAUCUCUAGCUGAAGCAACAAAUACUUAGUGGAAUCAACAAGGGAAUAGCGAAUACAAAUGAAUAUCCCGGGACCAACUCUUACUUGACAUGCCCAUCAGUAUUACCUUCCCAACUAGCAGUCUUCUAUUACUUGCUUUUUGUCUGAAGCUCCUUGUUUCUCUUUCUUUAGUUCGGUAUCUAGGCCUACUCUACUUGGUUUCACCCCCGUGUACUGCUUACUUGCAUCAUGUAUUGCUGCUUUGAUUCUUCUACUCAUGCCUCUCUGCCUUGUUUUAUGUAUGUUCUUCCUUGCUCUUAUUCUGACUAUCCUUCCUAUGAGUCUGCCCUCCUUUAUUGCAUUCCGACUACAGAGGUUCAAUCUUAUACUUACAACUAUGGGAACUGGAACGAGACCGCUACCGAUAAGAAUCAAUCUGGAAAUCCAGAAUACUAGGGGUGUGUGUUCCAUAGUAUCGGAAUGUAACUAAGCGUUAAAAGAAUCAAUCCAUAAAUUCAGAAUGCAGGAAAGGAGCAGUGCCUGGACGACUGUAACCAAUACUCCGGUAAGAAGGAACCGAACCUCUCAAACAGAAGAAAUUCACCAGUAAUAGCAGGAAUGGAGCUACUGGCUAACAGGCUAACUGUCCUUACUCUGAUUCUAGCUACCUUGCACUUCAUUCUAUAUCUCUUUGCUAUUGGUCUGUUACGAUGCCUGUCACUUUGAAAAACGUCUUUUGUAUAGGCAUCAAAUUCAUUCUAGGCUCUCUUAGGCGUAUGACAUGGUGGAUUAGCUAUCCAAACUAAUAAAUGACGUUCUAGUUCAUUUGUCACUAAUAUCUUAGUAAAGGAAAGGAUCUAACUGAUGCCAACAAGGAUCGAACCACUGCUAGAAAGAAUAGAACCUCUGCUAUAAAGGCUUGCUUUACAGUAUCUGAGAAUAGGGCUAAGGUCUAGCACAAUACCUUAACUACCAAAUGGGAAUUACACGACUACAAAUCAUAAUUCACUAUCCUGGUAGUCAACCUUAAUUACUAGCUUCAAAAUGGCACUAGAGACUAAGACUCUUCCCCUACUGCCCUCAAUGCUAUAGUUCAAUUGCUAGUCUGACUUGACUCUUUAUCUAAAUCUAAUUCUUCUAAUCCAUAUAUCAAUUCCUUAUUGAAACUAGUUGGUCACCAAGACCUAAAACACAACUGCAAUAAGAAACAACACUGAAUUGGUUUAUGUAUUAGUUAUUGUCACUAACCAAGCAACUCGCCACUACUAUUAUCCAAGUCACUACCUGGUUUACAGCGCUUUCAUGGAAUUUAAUACGAGAGUUGAGUGAUAGUUUUUUCAUUGAAACACAUAUAUAACUCAGUAACCAAACACCGAUUAUGGAAUUGGAAUCCAUGAAUGAAAGUCAGGCAGGAAAGAAUCUUAGUCUGGCUUGCUUUACCUUGACUCUAAGGGCUAUCUUAUUAGGCAUAAAAUGCAUUGUCAGAGCCUUUUCGGGGAUUUUCUCAAUGUAUUUAUGUAUCUUUCAAUUAGAAUGUAUUUAUGCGCGAGUCUUUCCUUUGUAGCGGUAGGGGCAUAAUUGGAAUAAGUCACUAACACACCGGAGGCUCACUAAUGAGUAUACGCUUGGCUCUCUGUCUUUCCGGAGGCUCACUAAUUAGUAUACGCUUGGCUCUCUGUCUUUGUAGCAGUGUCUUGUCUGCUUGGCCGGGGGCAUUUGCGUUUUUUCUCGAUCAACUAUCUGUAUUGAAUGAAGAAAUCAAGAUAUAAAAGAUAUAUGAAAUUGUGAAUCAAGAUCUAGAUGGACCCCUAUUGAUCAAGUAGUGGGCUCCAGGUCUAGAUAAUGGAAUGGAAAGGGUUCGGAUGGGAUUUCGAUCAAGUGAGAGUGCUUAUACUUCUGUCUCAUAGCACGAUGGUUGUCUACUUCUGUCUCAUAGCACGAUGGUUGUCUACAGGGGGCACCUUCGAGUUCUACUCUUCCGAAAACAUACGUAGGUUUAUUGGCUAAUACCUAGCGCUCAUACAUAAGCAGCCGAGUUCCCGAGUCAAGAAAGCAAUGCUUGCCUUUUCUUCAUAGGAUCAACCCUCUUUACGUACGGCAGUGUCAUUAGCAUUUCAAAGUAUGCAAUGCACAUGUGAAAAGAGUACUAAUACGAGAUAGCACCUGGCCCUCCAUUCCAAAGGAUUCUAACGGAAGAAGAUCUACUUUUCGAUAACGUGUAGUGGGGACAGUUCGUCUUGAAAGCAGUGGGAGCCCCAAUACACUACCUGAGAUUGGAAUGAGAUAUCGAGAAAUUCAUUCAACUUCAAAUCAAGGUUUUCUUUGGCUUAAGUAUAGAGGUAGGGCACAUAGGCUAUUGAUAAGUAUUUCAGUAUGAGUCUCCCGCUCGUCUUAGCUAUAGCUCUCUUCUUCCGCAAGGGUAGCUUCUUUGCUUUGAACCAACCCCCGAGAACGAAUUCUUUUGAUUCAAUACAGCCCGCUCUUUUGUCAACUGCUACUGUCAACUUUUAAAGAUACAGACGGUCCUCAUGGCCUGAUUGGGCAAAUGGAGUUUUUAGGGGUGUGCCAUUCAAGGUAAGCAAGAAAAGACAGAAAUAAAGGGAUGGGGCGCUUACUAAGGCAGCUUCCUCUUUCCCCAUAGGGUGUUCUAAAGGUGACUUGUUUCCUUCUUCGGUAGGAUGCUCAUCCCGCUUUGGGCUUAUUCUCGGUUUUUUAGAAUGAUGAUGAUGAUGAUUUGAGCUUUGUCCCCUUUCAGCGCGUUGUUCUUCGUUUAGAUAGAGAUCCUCUUCUUUCCUAUAUCCUUCCUAGAUUCCCCUUAGAAUAUUAUUCCUAGAUUCCCUUUCCUAUAUCCUUCCUAGAUUCCCUUUCUGGAAACUCCAAUAAGCACUCCUAUAAUCUCUCAGAAGCUACAGCAUUCAUUCCUUGAACUUGAAAGAAAGAAUGGAAUAAGUUCUUAUAAAGGAAGAAAGAAUGGAAUAAGUAACACUAUUAUUGUAUAGAAUUCAUUAACCACUAUUAUUGUAUAGAAUUCAUUAACCACUAUUAUUGUAUAGAAUUCAUUAACAACACUAGAAAGACUCUGAAACCACUUCCCUUCUCUUAGCGCCAACCUCUGGAGCACCCUAGCUUUCGAUCAACCCGUUAAGCUUGUUCUGACUCACUUGCUUGUUUAGGUAAAACUAACACUGACGCGGCAGCCAAAGAAAGGACAACUUACUAUAAGAGCUCUCGGCUCGGGGUCACAAAACGGAGCAGGUGCAGUCUACCCCUACUUUAGAAAAUAGAUGAACAAAACGUAGCUGACCAGGUCCAGUCUACCCCUACUUUAGAAAAUAGAUGAACAAAACGUAGCUGACUAUCGGGGUAACUGAGCUUACUCUCUGGGGUCGGGGCGCGCAUUUAGUUAUUGUUGUUCAGGACGGGAGUUUCGUCUAGGCUUUCAAGUUUGCCCAGCUGCUCCCACUCGACUUUAGCGCCCAGAGCCUAGCUACCCGGCACCCGAAACUGUAAAUGCAUUCUUUGUCCUGUAUUCGCCCAUCUUUCAAGUCCUGUGUUCGCCGACCCGAACUCAAUUGGAAAUUACAAGGGAAAGCCAAUCGUAUUAAUAAAGUAGCACCUGACCUAUACUUUCUAUCUUCUGCUAUAGGGUGUAGUGAGCCUAUACUUUCUGUCUUCUGCUAUAGGGUGUAGUGAGUCUUCAUUCUUCCAGAGAUUCUCUUCGGCUUCAGGUCCCGACAAACAGGUCAUUCUCCAAUUCCGUAAUGAGAGCCCGGCCCGCCUCACAAGGAGCAGUAGGCGCAAGAAACCCAGAAAAGGAAGCGCAGAAGAAACUGCUGUGCCUGUUUUCCCGUUAUAUAAGUUUGGGCAACAGUAACAGGCAAUUCAUAAGCUUACCCAUUUCAGUUCCUCUGGCAACUAUUCGAGGUAAAGUUUCUAUUGAUAUUUACUAGAAAAUCGAAAUGAUCACUUUUUAGAAAGAGUACUGGAAUGCGGGGCCCCCUAGAUCAUCUUAUUUAGAGACCAUUGAGGUGAGUUUCCCUUUUCCAUUUCGUCUUGGAGUUCUUUUCUUUGAGGAAUGGCAGCGGGUAAGCACAGUGUGGGUGUGCUCUUUUCUCGUUAUGGGAUCUUUUGCUCGUUAUGGGAUGCAGUGGCUGGUUUCUGGAUUGGAUUCCUUCUUCCCAAAACUCAGAGCUUUACGGAAACACCUGAGUGGUUUUGCAGAAAUGUGGAAUGGUACCCCCUUCAACCUUCAACCUAAUCAGCUUCUUCAAAGUGUGCUCUGCUUGCUCUGCUUUAGGUUUCUGCUCAGUGGUUUUCUCAGUGUUUUCCUCAGUGUUCUCUUUCUUUUUCGCUAGUUUUUUCAGGGUCUCUUCUUUCGAACUUAUUUGGCUUGGUUCCCAAUUCUUCCCAGUGGAGAAAGUGAUCAUCAUAGCGAUGGAUUCCGAAAAGUCCUCGAUAUAGGCUUGUACCGGCCAUGAGGCAAACACCGUUUUUCAAUUCCGUAGUUCUUUUUCGGUAGUGUUCUUGCCAGGGCCCAUUCGGUUUUCUGCGUGUCCUGUUGUUCAAGAAAGCAUAUAUAGCUACAGGUCUCCACGUGUUGCUGAAGAGACACUUUUUGGUCUACCUUACUUCAUGGUUUUCUAUAGUUUUGAAUUCCAUUCCUGCGCUUCCACGUAUGCGAACUCCAAAGCUGUCAGUGUAGCCUUUUCCCUGUGUUUUUUUGGUGAACUUCUUUAGAUGCAUGUGUGCGGUAAAGCGCCAGUCCUCUAUCAACCUUUAGCCGGUAAAGCGCCAGUCCUCUAUCAACCUUUAGCCUAAUAGUCUUGGCGUUACAGCCAUUUUCGCAAUUGGAUUCUUUUUUUGUGUUACCAAGCACCUCUCUCCCUCCUUCAUAUGUCUCUUGAACCAGUGUGCAUUGGGGGUUUCAUCUUUUUGGAUCUUCUUUUUCCCACUCUAGGGUAUUAGAUCCGCGCUAAUUCCUCAUUGUACAUAAUUUGGAUGUUCUUUGAAUUGAACCACUGAACAUUUGUCUGUUUAAGCCAUCUUUGUAUGCAUCUGUAUAAGGUGGCUAUGACCCUCUAUUCUAGCAGUUCUUCGUUCUUUGAGUUCCACUUCUAUCUUCCAAAUCAUUCAUGGAAGUUCCCAUAGUGGCACAUACUAGCAUUGGGCAAAUUGGUGAUGGCUAUAAUGGGUACAUAUCUUUUUGGAUUUUCUGGAAGGGUGUUCUGUACGCCUACAUUUUCUCCCAUCAAGUAUUUCAAGGAGUUAGCUUAGUUUUACAGAGCCAUUGCAAUUUGGUUAGUUCUCAACCCCUUGCUUUACCAAAUCUUCUUCCAAAUGGAAAUCAUCCAAAAUCCAAAGAGCGUAGUGGUCGUGUGCCCCGAUUAAGUCAUAGAAUAUUGUACUCGGUGUAUAGGUGUAUAGCACUGUGCUAAGCAUUUGGCACAUUACAGUCUUUUGUGUUUCAGUCCUCCCAUAAAGUAGUAGUAGCUUUGUCAUGGGUGGUCUUUCAAAGAGAAGGUUGCAUACUACCCAGUCCCAAAAAUCGGUAUUUGUCACCUAAUUCUCCGAAGGUAUAUUCGUUGGGGUUGUUUUUUUCCUUUCUUUAAGUACUCAGUCAAUCUCUUUUGUUUGCAAGGCUUUCAGCACCUUCAUUAGUAUUCCCCUCGUUUCCUCGAAUAUGACUUUGAGGGCAUUAAUGUUCCUUACGAGAUUCGCCUCCCAUUCUGUAUCCUUACGAGAUUCGCCUCCCAUUCUGUAUCCUCAUAGACUUUUUCCCAUUCCCUUCAUUCCUUUAUCUUUCGUACAACAUAUAUUCUCCAUUGUGGGAUCUUUUUAUGCAGUGUUUGCGCCUUUAGGUUUCCCGUAUGUGUUGAGUGCUUUCCCCAAAUGAGUUUCUUUUUCUCAUCCUGAAUUACUUACUUGCACACGGAAGCCGAAGCUCUGUGAAAGGAAAGGCCAAAUAGAAUUGUGCUCCAAAAUGAUGAAGUCUCAUGGGAAAGCCUUUCUUAGAAUAGGAGGGUUAGCUUCUUCUUUGCGCUACCUACUCAACGAGUAUUCCCACGUAGAAAUGGUGUCCUGUUUUUCCGUGCUGUUCCCUCGCCACAAUGAUGGUAGUACAUGCCGUGGCUGUUCAUAUCCUUCUCCCAACAGAAUUCUUAUCUAUGUCUUUCUGGGGUUUGAUCUGCCCCGCUUAAGGUAAGCUGCAAUAAUUUCCUUAUAUGAGUGUUGGACCUCUUGUUCAGAAUGAUCCUUUUUCCACUGUAAGAAGAAUGCAACUGGUUACUUUGUUCACUGGUGUUCUUUUGGAACUUCUCCCUUUUUAUCAUGGUACUUUUUUCUGCUGAAACAAGAUUCUCCUCUUCCUGUUAGGUAAAGUGUAGAGUGCCCCUUCCAUCGGGUGUCCUUCCCACGGUUCCCGGAAGCACUCCUUUUUGUUUCUCUGUUGGGCGUUUUAAGCGCUGUUGAGUUUUCAUCUCUGAUUCCUACACACCUCUUAGGGUUUUCUAUCCGCCGAGGAAAUGCAUUUCUUUCGCAUACUUCUUUCAUUCUCUUUGUCUUCGGGUUGGUUUAAGUAUUCGUUCAUUGACGCCGGUUGUCUGACUCGGAGUGUUUCUUAAGGAUAGUUGCCCGUCCUUUUGGCUAUCUUUUUCGGGAUAAGAGAGAGACCGACUGCUUUUAAGGAUUAUUUAGGAUUGAGUUUUCUCGAGGGUUGAGUUUGCCCCUCUAGCUUUUGCAAGGGUGGAGUUUGCCCCUCUAGCUUUUCCAGCUGUAACCAAUCCAUGUUUGCCUAACUCUCUUCUAAGUGCUUGGCUUCUAAGUGGGGUCUACCUUCUUAUAGCUCUGCCGCACCUUCUUUAUUUCAGAAAACAGGACUUGAACUUGAAACUGGAUACUUUACUGGAUAUAAUUCCUGACGCUCGACGAAAGCAGAACAAGUGAUGUAUUCUCGGGAACUAAACCACGCCUAGUGCCUUGUAUGGUAGUUCUGAAAGUCCUGGGUCACUCAUAUGAUAGGGAAAACACUCAUUUCCGACACCUAAAGGCUGUUCGUAGACUAAACAUCUUACUUGUGCAAAGCCACUCUCUGCUCUGGGACAGGAUGUUGAAUAGGCAAGCAACUGCUAUCAAUCCUGAUUUUCGUAUUCAUGGCGUUAGUCCGAGCGGAGUGUUUUCUCAUAUCUAAAAGAGAAAGAAUGGGUUUCUACUCUACCAUAUAUAAGAAGAUUUUGGCGUAUGUAGAGGGGUGGUGCUUCUUCAGGCAAGGCAAUUCCAUGAUGUUUCUUUCUGUUAUCAGGUAAUCCCGAAAAGAAUGGUUUUCUCCCAUGAUGUUUCUUUCUGUUAUCAAGUAAUCCCGAAAAGAAUGGUUUUCUCCUAUAUAUAAGAAGAUCAAGAAUGGGAAUUUCGAUUUCAUUACACAUCUCUACUUCUACUGAUGGACACAAUACUAACUCCAAAGGUUUACUAGGCGCAAGAAUACUAAGUGGGGAGGUCUAGCUAAACCUGUCUUCGAGGCGGCAGCUUACUACUAAUGACCAAGUAACGGAACAAGCAGCGGGAGCAAAGGACAGAGGAAAAGGACAGAGGAAAAGCUAAUAGGGUAAUAAAGGGUCUUACCUCGCCAAUAAAGAACCAACCUCCAUCGUGGACACUGGAACUUGAACUGCUUGUUCGUUCUGUUCUGUCAACUCCAAGAAACAAACUUACCGAUAGCGGAACUCUCUGCGUCUUGCUUGUUUCUUUCGCCACUAACAUUGAGGACUUGGACUGGACCUAUACUCGGCUCGGGAAAGCCAGACACUUCCCUCUCUGAUAGACGUAAAGCCAAGAAAGAACAGAACCUCUAUCGUGGCCAACAAAGAUUCAAGCUAAGCACACAACCCGAACUCUACAACUAGGCAAAGGCAAUCACGCAAAGGGGUAAAGCCAACCAUCUCUCUCCUCUCCAUAACACCUUGCUUAAGAUCCCUUUCUUUCUUCGGGAACAAAUCCAGCAACAUCUUAUGCAUAUUCUCUCGUUGGCAAUGCCAUUAACUUAAGGGCUCUUCUACAUUUCUUAACCUCGUAUGGCCUUGCCUUCUCAAACACCUUUGCUGUAACUCCACUUUAAGGUUCUGAACCGACAACACAGGCCUUAGACACUAAAGCACUCGAACCAGUAGACGGCAAACCAAGCGCAUCUAUUAUUCUUGACUUCUCCGCCUUCUAUACAGCAUUCCUUUGAUUUGUCUUUGAUCAGUUCCAUUCCAUUCUCAAGGUUAACUCGACCGACUCUCAUGCUAAUUCUCUCUACGAUUUAACUAGAACAUAACCGAUUGCACCUGCUCUUGUUCUUAUUGGGCCUUGUAAGUGCAAUUCAAAUAAGUAGUUUCCAGUGUUGUAUCCUGUAUGUAUAGGGUCAUUUUCAUCACUUAUAUCAUAUGCGAGAUAGCUUCAAUAUUCCCAUUUUCUUCCUUGUUUCAAGUGUCGUUCUGGGCUUUCCCUUCUCUUUGCUUUGCGUGAUUAGCUUUCCUUAAGAGUUAGGGUUUCGUGCUUGUCUUUUGCUCUUUCAAGUCGACGAGAAUCAUAUCAUGAAUAAGAGGUUUAGUCUCAAGGAAAAGUAGAAAGAAUAGAGUGGAGUAUAGAAGUAGGUAAUGUCAUUUUAUAUGAGGUUAAGCUAUACACUUAUAUACUAGUAUUAGAGGUGUAGCCAGAGUAUGGACACCUAUUUCUCAUUAUAGAAUAAGAGGCUUUGCUCCCAUCUUUUCCUGCAAGAUGAUCUUCUGCGCUCGAUAAGAAAGAUUCGAUUAAUGAUGAGGCGUGAAAAGUAUUGCCAGGUUCAGGCCCAACUGAAUAAUUAGUUAGCAAGUAAAUCCCCUGUUUCAUACUGAGUCGAAGUUGAAGCAACAGUGAUAUAUUGAGUUUGAGUUCGAUAAUCAGCAGUGCGCUUACGGGAAGGCAAUUCCAGCUUGUUUACAGGCCAAACAAUAACAAGAUCCGGUUCAUAAGAUGUCUCCGAAGCAGUUCAAAAGUCACCAGCAAAGGGAGAGUCAAGAGCAGUAUCAAGUAUAUUAUUCUUCCAAUUCCGUUUCUGUUCGAGUCAAGCAUGAAAUGAACACAGAACUCGUCUACUUAGAGUGGAGCCAAUAACUUCUCUCUCUCUAUGACUUAGAGCUAGAGCACCAACUACAAGCCAAUCCUUUCAACCAGGCCGAGUAACUACUCAAAAAGCAAGAAUCGGACAGUUAAUAACUUUAUAUAACAAUUCCGUAUUAUGACAAUUCCUGUCUUCAUUCGCCAAGUCCUGUGUUCAAGAGCCAAUCCACUACUAAGUCCACCAAGCUUAGUAUCAUGUUGCGCGGUAGCGAGUUAAUACACGGCGUCAGUAACGGCCAAUCCACUUAUUCUUCCUAAUCGGAUACGAGGCGCAAGAUCCAAUCCAAUACGGGUGUUAGCAUUGUCCUAUAUCUCUCUAUUCUAUUCUGUCUGUUCUUUUCAUUGAACUGAACACUUAUUGUCAUCCCCACCGUAGGUCAGUAGGAGGCGGACCAGCGAGCAGAGCAGCAUACUCCCUUGUUAGUACAUGGAAAAGGACUCUCUAUAGGGAAGGAUCUUUCUUACAGUAUGGCGUGGUGAUAAAGAAUACCGGCUCUCGCGAACCUCUCAGCGGUACAUCAAGGAAGAAAUGCUUUUUCUUUCGUAGAAAAGAAUAGAAGAAAUGCUCCAUCUUGAGUGUAAGAGGCUUGUAUCCGAUACGAAAAGAUGUUGGUUGACCUCAGGGAUGCAUCUCCUUUAUCUCCAUCUUCGAGCCCAAUCAAUCGACCUAUUUAAUGCCGGGUUGGGUGCUUAGCCCUAAUAGGAAAUGCCGGGUUGGGUGCUUCGCCCUAAUCGGAUAGCGAAGAAAGAAAUCUAUCAGAGAGGCGGAUUCCCCACUAUCAAAUGCCAUGGGAAGCCCUCUAUCGCGGAGUCAAGUCACCAGCAAAUGUAGAGUCAGUAGGAGAAGAGAAGGCAGUAGGAGGCUUCUUACUAUACUAUGAGGAAGUUCAGGAGAGGUCAAUCUAAACAAAAUAUGCAGAACUCAUGCAAAGGAACCAUUUAUAUAUCCUAUAUAGAGAAAUAAGUAUUAGCAAUGUCAAGGAGAAAGGGCUUGCAAAGGUCCCGUCCUCUGUCGGGUAUAGAAUGUUCAGAGGCAAAAGAAAAGG
rnacentral:lncRNA from 1 species